rnacentral:rRNA from 1 species
GUACUACUCUCAGAGUUUGAUCCUGGCUCAGGACGAACGCUGGCGGCGUGCUUAACACAUGCAAGUCGAACGGAGUUAAGGAGCUUGCUUCUUAACUUAGUGGCGAACGGGUGAGUAACGCGUGAGGAACCUGCCUUUCAGUGGGGGACAACAGUUGGAAACGACUGCUAAUACCGCAUAAUGUUAUCGGGCGGCAUCGCUUGAUAACCAAAGAUUUAUUGCUGAAAGAUGGCCUCGCGUCUGAUUAGCUAGUUGGUGGGGUAACGGCCCACCAAGGCGACGAUCAGUAGCCGGACUGAGAGGUUGACCGGCCACAUUGGGACUGAGAUACGGCCCAG